UAAUUCUAUAACUCCUCCCGCUCCUUACCAGAUGAUGGCGGUAAUACACACAGACUACAACAGACUACAUGUCCGAUGGCUAAACAAGUAGUAAUAGCGAUGAGAAGACGCGCGCGCCAGAUGUGAGGACAGUGAGAAGUACAGCUACAGUAUGGAGAAGUCCCCAUUUAUGCCCCAUUGGGAUUUGUUUUGUUGAAGGAAGUACAAGAAACUGAUCUCCAAUGGAACAGAUGCUGGUAAACAUCGGACGGGCAUUUUGGCGAGACUGCGCAGAAGCUGGAGCCAUAUCAGACGCGCAUUUUGAUGUUGUUGUACUCUUAAAGAAUGCCAAAGAAAAUCGCAUUCUUGUGAGGCCUGUCUGCCAGCCUUCUGUUGUUUAUUAAAGAUUCCAAAUGUGGAUAACUUAUGCCCUCAGUACAGAAGCAUUUCAAAUGCUGAGCAUGGCAUAGAAGUUGCUCUUGAGUUUCACCAAAUAGAAGAUGAUGUCAGUGAGCCAGAAGCACCCACUCAAAGCAGUGAUGAAGAUGAUGUUUCAGAGUAGGAGGAUGAAGGUAAUAAAGGUGUGGCAAAGUCAGAUGAGAAAUGGCUUCCUCCGACACAAGGAUCUGAAAGUGAAGAGGCAGAGGGGCCAUACAUGAAGCAGCUUUGCUCUGACUGUGGAGUCUUUCAUUAUAACAAAACAAACCACGUAUGUGAGUUCAAAAUUAAACUAUAUCUUUGUAAUGUCUGUGGUAAGAGAUGUGUCACUGAACAUUCUCUUAAAGUAUGCUGCAACAUACACAGUGAAACAUAUGAACAUUAUUGUAAAUAUUGCUAUACCACCUUUAAAACUAAACCGGACAAACUUGCACAUAAAGAGAUCCACUAGAAUCAACCAAAACCAUUCCAGUGUCCUGAUUGCACAAUGAUAUUUGCCUCAGCAUACUAUACAUGUGACAUAUGUGGAAUUGUUUUCCUAACAAGGAACAGUUUCCAGAGACAUGAAAUGACCCACACAGGAAUGAAACCCCACAAGUGUUCAAUAUGUAAGAGAACUUUUACCCAGCAAAGUCACCUAAAGUCACACAUGUGCAUGCACACGGGAACAGCCUUAUAAAUGUCACCACUGUGACAAAUCUUUUAACCACAAUGUCAGUCUUAAGAGCCACACCCAGUGCUACCACCCACUGGAGUCUGGGGAAAAAACACGACAAGGGAUUGUGAUGAUGUGACUGACACAAACGACAUUGUUCAAAACCAGGACACGGAGAAGAUUCAGAAGGCCAAAAAAAAAAAAGAUACCCAAGUGUGAGCAAAUGAUCCUGGUCGAAAUAAUCUGAUCUUUAAUAACGGUACUGAUAAAAGUAAAACAAUACACCAUAGUGUUGAAACAAACACAUUAUGUAUAAAAUGAAAAAUGUAUGAGUACAAUAAUAUGAAUAAAACACAUGAUGCUAUAGGUGAAUGUUAUACUGAGAUUGUUACACGUGUGAAAUACCUAAUAACACAGUUCAUUAAUUAUUUUUGGAACUUAAAUUCCUGUUGUCAGACGUGACUAUGCCUAGAGCAGGGCAAAAAACACAAGAAAGCUAUUUGGUUACCUAGUAAGUAUGCAUUAUUGGUUAAGAUGCUCCUCUAGAUCUGAAGUUCCAUAAAAAUGAAUUAUUGAUGAUUCAAAUUUAUGUACUGGUUAAAAUGGAACUAAACACUACAUAAACCUUUUUGUUACUAAACUCUGUGUAUGGUGUUUUAAUAUUGUCUACUAGUGCUUUUUGUCAUUUUAAUGUAAA